GUUCCUUUCGGCUAUAGCAUCUUUGAUGGUCACAACCACAAAGCCAAUAUCACAUUUCAAUUAACGGCACGAACGAUGGGUGGUCACACUCUUAAAGUUUGGUUUAGACAAAAGAAAGGUCAAGUCCAUUUUAGGCUUGGACUACUUGGCUCUGCAUCAAAACAUAUAUCCUUUCUGUUACAAAGUAAAGAAUACAAGAAGCUAAUUUUUGGUAAAGGAUUUCACACAUUACAUAUCUCUAACUGAAAAUAGGAAAAGAUAUACCCCCAAGGACCAAAGAAACAAAAGAAAAAGCCAAUAUUUGGUAGAGGAUAUCAUGCAUUAGAGUCUCUAACAGAAAAUUAGAAAAGAAUAACGCUUGGUGAAAGUGUUCCUUAUUCUCUUGAUAAUACACGUGUUAUUAUAAACAUAGAAUAGCAUCUUUGAUGGUGACAACAGCAAAGCCAAUAUCACAUUUCAAUUAACGUCACAAACGAUGGGUGGUCACACUCUUAAAGUUUGGUAUAGACAAAAGAAAGGUCAAGUCCAUUUUAGGCUUGGACUACUUGGCUCUGCAUCAAAACAUAUAUCCUUUCUGUUACAAAGUAAAGAAUACAAGAAGCUAAUUUUUGGUAAAGGAUUUCACACAUUACAUAUCUCUAACUGAAAAUAGGAAAAGAUAUACCCCCAAGGAUCAAAGAUUAACUGGUAUUGUUGAACAUCAGUUGAAAGAAGUUAAAAAUACAAACAGCAACA